UUAUUUCAAUUUAUUUAUCUUUAAAGAACCAAUACGAAUUGGGGAUGUUUUCAAAAUGGGUACGACAAUAAAAAACUGACCAUUUUCAUUCUUCUCCACCUUACCUUUCAGAUUGGAUCUCAGGCUGUGUACAGUGGAUUAAAAAAAAGUUUGCACACCCUCAUGAAAUUGCAGGUUUUUUGAAAUGUAAAGAUAGAAAUUGCAACAUAAACGUCAGACGUGCCAUUUUUAAUGUGAUCUUCCAGCAAACAAAAAUCCAGAGGAAAAAAACCCUGCUAAUUAGGAACAAAAUACAACACCCAAAUUUGCGCAAGCCUACACACCCUGCCCCAGGUGGAAGUCCCUUAUUACAGCAGCAAGUCUUUGUGAAUAAGUCUGUACUGACUUUGCACAUCUAGACUUUGGAAUUUUAUCCCACUCCUCUUUGUAAAAAAAAAGUUCAAGUUCCUUCAAAUUGCGAGGGGAUCUCCUGUGUACAGCUUUCUCUGGGUCAUUCCACAUUUCGAUGGGACUGAGGUCUGGGCUCUGACUGGGCCAUUCCAUGACUUUGAUUUUCCUUUUCUGAAGCCAUGCCUCGGUCAACUUGGAUGUGUGCUUUGGGUCACUGUCAUGUGAAAUUCCUCUUUAUCUUCAGCUUUCUGACAGAGGCCAGCAGGUUUUGUGCCAAAAUAUCUUGAUAUCUGGAACUAUUUGUUACCCGUAUAUCUUGACAAAAGCCCCUGACCCAGCUGAAGAGAAGCAGCCCCAAAGAAUUCAGUCAGUAUGGUGUUCCUUGGAUGAUGUGCUUGAUUGGCUUUACAUCAAACAUAUCUUUUACAAUUAAGGCUAAAAAGUUCUUGACCAUAACACAUUUACCCACAUGGUUUGGGCUGACUGAAAGCAUCUUUUGGCAUAAUUCAGACAUGCUUGGAUAAUCCUUUUUGGAAGGGUUUCUGUCUUGCUACCUUACCCCAUAUCUCAGACAUGUGCAGAAUACUGGAGAUGGUGGUCACGCGCAAAGAGUGACCAGCACCUGCCAGAAAUUCCUGUAGUUCCUACAGUGCUGUUGGCCUUUUGGUGGCGUCCCUGAUAAGUUUUCUCGCCGUCCUCCCAUCACCUUUGGAGGGUCUUCCUUAUCUUCUUUGCCAUGUCUCUGUGGUGCCACAUUUUCUCCCUUACUCAUGAUGGUUUUGACAGUGCUCCAUAGUACAUCCAAUGCCUUCAAUAUUCUUUUAUAUCCAUCUCCUGAUUGGUACUUUUCAACAAUUAGAUCUGUUUCUUUGGUAGCUCUUAACAGACCAUGGCUCCCCUAGUACGAUGCAACCACAAAUAAAUCCUACAGUAACAGCUGAGUUUAAUCUGGUUUUAAUCAGAACCACUUUCAUUGAUGGCGGGUGAAUACUAUUUACCUAAAGGCAUUAUUCUGAGUGUGAUUGGUUAACACAGCUGGACACAGCUAGAGCCCCCAUUAUGAAAGGGUGUGAAAACAUAUGCAAUCAUGGUGUUGUAGUUUUUUUAAUCUUAAAUAUUCCUAGUAAUUGUUUUUCUCAUAAUUUUAAAUUUGUUGGAAGAGCACAUUAAAGACGGAACAAGUCUGACAUUUACAUUGUUAUUUCUGUUUUUGCAUUUCAAAUACCUGCAAUUUCAUAAGGGUGUGUAAACUUUUUAUUUCCACUGUGUAUAAGUUUAAAUACACAUAAUUAGGGAAGUCCUAUUGUUGCCCUGUAGAGGAGAAUGAAUGAAAGCAGAAGUACCUAUCACAGAGGUUGCCAAGUUUUUCCUGUUUUACUGCCCGGAUGUGAAUCUGAAGUGUCUGUGCGCAUGUGUUUGUGUGUUUGUGUUUGUGUUUGUGUGUGUUUGUGUUUGUGUUGUGUGUGUAUGUCAGCAGGGUUUGGUGGGCUUUUCAGAGGUGGACUGAUUAUUGCACUCCAACAAGGUAAUAAAAAAAGAAAAAGAAAAAAAAAGACAUGGCUCUCAGAGGAUUUAAAAAAAAGAAAACAAAACUAUUGGAAAACAAAGUGUCCUUGCCCCUGCCAAACUCAUAACGGCCACACAUAUCAUCUUGUGAAUAAAUAUUGCAGACAUAUUCAAACUCAGUGAACCCCUAAACUGAAAGUGACUUUAAGCAAGUGAAGGGUAAAAGGAAAACAUUACUGCAUUUUCAGGUGAACCUUUUAGUUUUUGUGCAAAAAAAAAAACACCCCAAUACCAAAAUGGACAGUCACAAUGUGUUCAAAGUUUAAAAAUGUUUUAAAAAGAUACAUUAUUCUGGCCCAAUCUUAUUAUAUCAAUAAUUUGUGGAAAUAAAAAUUAAGAAUAUGCUUUAACAUUUCAUCACCACUGUUUGUGUAAAAAAAAAAAAAAAAAAAAAAAAAAAAAAAAUCACAAAAUGGAAAAA